GUAUGGGGGAGGACCAAUUCGGAGAUUGAGGUGGAUAGACCAGCCAGUCCUAGCAGCAGUGGGUAUGCAGGUGAAAGAGGAAGCAGCAGUGCCAGUAGCGGCAGGUCGGAGAUGGAUGGAGUUGCUGAGGAUGAGAUACAGGAACUGAGAGAUGAUGACGCUUCUAUUGGUGAGAACUCGAAUUCUGUACCCUCGUGGGUUCCUGGAAAGCGGCAUGGUGACGAGGAUGAUGCUUCCAUAUCGUGGAGAAAAAGGAAGAAGCAUUUCUUUAUUCUUAGCCAUUCUGGAAAGCCUAUUUAUUCCAGGUAUGGAGACGAGCACAAACUAGCAGGAUUUUCGGCCAGCUUGCAGGCAAUCAUUUCCUUUGUUGAGGAUGGGGGUGAUCGUGUCA
rnacentral:misc_RNA from 1 species